AAAUAGAUAGUUUAUGUGAAGAAUGAUGGCUUGUGGCGCUAUAGGUGUUUCUAACUCUAUUUA
rnacentral:tRNA from 1 species